rnacentral:rRNA from 1 species
AUAACGACGCGGGAUUCUGUCGAGUCUCCGCGAUCGGUAUGAAAACACUCCAAAUCCGUUAACGAGGAUCGACCGGAGGGCAGGUCUGGUGCCAGCAGCCAUGGUAAUUUCAGCACCGG